rnacentral:lncRNA from 1 species
CCCAGAACAAUUUAGUUCUUAUUUUUAAAUCUUGAAUAUUUAUUUUCCAGCUUUCCAUAAAUUAAAAAUAAAUUUCAUAUGUUGUUAGAUAUUCCCCAGACAUAAACAUGUCACUUUUAUUUUUACUACAUUUUUUAUAGAUUUUUCUUUUGUUCUUUGAUUACUUUUUUCAUGUUGACCGGUUGUCAUGUGUGCAAAAGUUUUCUUUCUCGGUCUAGUAUUGUAAAUCACAAAGCGCUAUAGAUGAAGACAUGAAUCUCACCGUGAUCUGAUCCGAUCCUCAUUGAGCCUUGUACAUACUCGUUUGUUAGCACUUAUUUCAUUUCACUUAAGUUGGUAGAAAUGAAAUGGAAUCAAAAUCUUGAUUGGAUUUCAUUUGGUUGAAUUUGAAUUCUGGAUUAAAAAAAUUCAUAUUUGUCUAUCACAUGAAUUUGUAGAAUGACAGAAUAGGUAUAACUCCAUGGAAUUCCAGAUUGAAUUCUUGUACAGGAACAAAUUUCGUGCCAGCCAAACAGUUGGCUCCUGAAAUAUAAAAUGUAUUCCAAAAUAAUAUAACUCAAAUGAUAGAAGACAAACGAGGUCUUGCGAACUUUUUUUUAUACAGAGAAAAUAGCCCACGGUUUUGAGAAUACCUUGAUAUUAAAACUGUAGUUUCGUCGGUGGCCAAACACCUCUCCGUAUAUAAAACUAGAGUGUAUCUGAGAACCGUAGAAUUCUCAUUACAUGUAUAGUCACCCAACGCAUCCAAACACAUCACCA